AUAAGGGACAAUUUUAUCAUUUUCUAGAAAAUUGCUUAACAUAAAUAACUUCGCUCAAAAGGAGACCCGAGCUUGAGCUCGGGUUUCUCACUCACCUCUGUGCUCGAGUUACUUGCAGAAUUGAUAUGUGGUAUUAGUCUUAUGGAAUUGGAACAAAGGGGUAGCGACAGAUGUUGUGGAUAACAAUGAAGGUUCUGGCAUGGACAUGGUUUCUUUUAUUGCCAGAACUAUGACUAUUUCUGAUGAUGCUGAAGAUUUUUCUGACUUUGAGAAACAUUACCAUAAGAUGAUCUCUUCGUCCUGGGGGAUUGGAGGUAUCAUCAUUCCUGUUGUGCUGCUCAUGUCAUUUUUCAACUAUUACUAUGAACAGGGUUUCUCGUCUCCUGUCAAGCUAUCUUUUGAUGUAUAAGAUGUUCAAGUUCUGGAUCAGUUCUAGUCGUGGUGGCAGCAGAUCAGCAUUUUCAUUAGACGUGAUGUAAAUACUUUUGUCGUGGCAGUGAUCUUUUCUUUUGGCUGAAACAUGCAAACAUUAUCAUAUUUACUGCAGUUGGGUGUUGGGGUUUGACUUAAUUAUUAGCCUGAUUCUCGUCUGUAAAUAAAGCUAAUGUCAACAUGUGGAGAGUGUGUGCUUUUCCCUGCUCCUGUUGUAAGAACCUCCAGCUCACUAAAACCACCUAUGCUAAUCUGCAGUAUCUUUCUUUUGGCUCA